GACGUAGGGCGCGAGCGUUGUCCGGAUUUAUUGGGCGUAAAGAGCUCGUAGGCGGUUUGUCGCGUCUGCUGUGAAAACUGGAGGCUCAACCUCCAGCCUGCAGUGGGUACGGGCAAACUAGAGUGCGGUAGGGGAGAUUGGAAUUCCUGGUGUAGCGGUGGAAUGCGCAGAUAUCAGGAGGAACACCGAUGGCGAAGGCAGGUCACUGGGCCGCAACUGACGCUGAGGAGCGAAAGCAUGGGGAGCGAACAGG
rnacentral:rRNA from 1 species